AGAACGAACGCUGGCGGCAGGCUUAACACAUGCAAGUCGAGCGCCCUGCAAGGGGAGCGGCGGACGGGUGAGUAACACGUGGGAACAUGCCCUUUGGUUCGGAACAACUCAGGGAAACUUGAGCUAAUACCGAAUGUGCCGGUAACGGGAAAGAUUUAUCGCCAAGGGAUUGGCCCGCGUCCGAUUAGCUAGUUGGUGAGGUAAAGGCUCACCAAGGCUCCGAUCGGUAGCUGGUUUGAGAGAACGACCAGCCACACUGGGACUGAGACACGGCCCAGACUCCUACGGGAGGCAGCAGUGGGGAAUCUUGGACAAUGGGGAAACCCUGAUCCAGCCAUGCCGCGUGAGUGAUGAAGGCCUUCGGGUUGUAAAACUCUUUCGACGGGGACGAUAAUGACGGUACCCGUAGAAGAAGCUCCGGCUAACUUCGCGCCAGCAGCCGC
rnacentral:rRNA from 1 species